rnacentral:rRNA from 1 species
GGACUACAGGGGUAUCUAAUCCUGUUUGAUCCCCACGCUUUCGUGCCUCAGCGUCAAUCAUACCAUAGUAAGCUGCCUUCGCAAUUGGUGUUCUGUGACAUAUCUAUGCAUUUCACCGCUACUUGUCACAUUCCGCCUACCUCUAGUACAUUCAAGCUAAUCAGUAUCAAAGGCACUGCGACAGUUGAGCUGCCGUCUUUCACCCCUGACUUAAUUAGCCGCCUACGCACCCUUUAAACCCAAUAAAUCCGGAUAACGCUCGGAUCCUCCGUAUUACCGCGGCUGCUGGCAC